rnacentral:tRNA from 1 species
GAUUUCACGCCGGCUGAACGGGCUACGUUGAUGGUGUAGAGCAUAGAGUUUUUCUCUUGAAAUUA